rnacentral:rRNA from 1 species
UACAGAGGUCUCAAGCGUUGUUCGGAUUCAUUGGGCGUAAAGGGUGCGUAGGUGGCGCGGUAAGUCGGGUGUGAAAUUCGUGACUUAACUCCGAAACUGCAUUCGAUACUGCCGUGCUUGAGGACUGGAGAGGAGACUGGAAUUUACGGUGUAGCAGUGAAAUGCGUAGAGAUCGUAAGGAAGACCAGUGGCGAAGGCGGGUCUCUGGACAGUUCCUGACGCUGAGCACGAAGGCCAGGGGGAGCAAACGGG